AUUGAACGCUGGCGGCAUGCUUUACACAUGCAAGUCGAACGGCAGCACGGACUUCGGUCAGGUGGCGAGUGGCGAACGGGUGAGUAAUACAUCGGAACGUGCCCAGUCGUGGGGGAUAACGUAGCGAAAGCUACGCUAAUACCGCAUACGAUCUAAGGAUGAAAGCGGGGGAUCGCAAGACCUCGCGCGAUUGGAGCGGCCGGUGGCAGAUUAGGUAGUUGGUGGGGUAAAGGCCUACCAAGCCGACGACCUGUAGCUGGUCUGAGAGGAUGAUCAGCCACACUGGGACUGAGACACGGCCCAGACUCCUACGGGAGGCAGCAGUGGGGAAUUUUGGACAAUGGGCGCAAGCCUGAUUCAGCAAUGCCGCGUGAGUGAAGAAGGCCUUCGGGUUGUAAAGCUCUUUUGUCAGGGAAGAAAAAGUCGUGGCUAAUAUCCACGACUGCUGACGGUACCUGAAGAAUAAGCACCGGCUAACUACGUGCCAGCCGCCGCCGUAA
rnacentral:rRNA from 1 species